AUUGAACGCUGGCGGCAUGCCUUACACAUGCAAGUCGAACGGCAGCACGGGAGCAAUCCUGGUGGCGAGUGGCGAACGGGUGAGUAAUAUAUCGGAACGUGCCCAGUCGUGGGGGAUAACGCAGCGAAAGCUGUGCUAAUACCGCAUACGAUCUAUGGAUGAAAGCGGGGGGUCGCAACACCUCGCGCGAUUGGGGCGUCCGAUAUCAGAUUAGCUAGUUGGUGAGGUAAAGGCUCACCAAGGCGACGAUCUGUAGUUGGUCUGAGAGGACGAACAGCCACACUGGAACUGGGACACGGUCCAGACUCCUACGGGAGGCAGCAGUGGGGAAUUUUGGACAAUGGGCGAAAGCCUGAUCCAGCAAUGCCGCGUGCAGGAUGAAGGCCUUCGGGUUGUAAACUGCUUUUGUACGGAACGAAACGGUGAGCUCUAAUACAGUUUGCUAAUGACGGUACCGUAAGAAUAAGCACCGGCUAACUACGUGCCAGCCGCCGCGGUAA
rnacentral:rRNA from 1 species